ACGUUUAGAAGGAGAGACCAUUUGACACGUGUGGUGGUUCAACCUUGAUAGUUGAUCGCUGACCAUAGCUGGAGUUGCGCGCAUUCAGAAUAUAACAAUAAUUUCUCCUCUUUGCCAGACUGCCCUCAGCCAUUUUUAUGUUGUUCUAGCGGCGAAGGUUCGGCUAAAAGUUGUGAAGUUGUAAAGAAAUCAGAGAAGAGUUCUUUAGGGUUUACUUUACUCUAUAUACCUGCACCUUAGUUGCCUUUCCAAAUUUAGCGGAGCCGGCAGCUUUGAAUGAAGUCCACGCCUUUUCUAAAAUAUCCAGCUGCAGAGAUUCCAGAGAAUCUCAUUCUUCUCUUCUUCGCUAAUUAGGUGAAGACUCAGAAGUCUCACUUUUUAUUUUCCCGUGAGAUUUUGAUAUACAGAGCAUCUGUUUGGUAUAUUGCAAUCCAUUUACGGGUCACUCAAACCCUAGACAAGCCUAUUUUGAGGUCUUUACUGUAUAUUCUGUGAAAGGAUUUUCCUUUAUUUACUAGUUUUGCAGCUUGGAACCCUAGUUCAAUCUUACGUCUCUUUAUUGCGCCCCACGAAGGGUUGAAGCCGUAACCCUCUGUGUCAUUUUUAGUAACCAGCAUGGCGAAUGCUUUGGACAUGUCUCUCGAUGACUUGAUAAAAAAGAACAAGCAGCCUGGGCGAGGAGGGCGAGGCAGGGGAAGGGCGAACGGGGCCUCUGCAGGCCCCCUACGCAACAGGGCAUUGCUUCGAUCAGCGAAUCGGGCAGUACCAUAUUCUCUUUCAAAGCCAUUCCAGCAAGCUCCCGAGUCUACCUGGCAACAUGAUCUGUUUGAUACACAGAUGACUGAUGCAGCUCCAUCUACUCGACUUUUACGAAUUGAGACUGGAACAAAAGUGACUAUAUCCAACUUGGAUUAUGGUGUUUCUAACGAUGAUAUAAAGGAACUGUUUUCAGAGGUUGGCGAUCUUAAACGGCAUCAGGUUCAUUAUGAUAGGAGUGGGAGGUCAAAGGGUUCAGCAGAAGUUGUAUUUGCAAGGCGAGCAGAUGCUGAAGCGGCUGUGAAGCGAUACAAUAAUGUGCAACUUGAUGGAAAACCACUGAAGUUAGAUAUAGUUGGAACAAACCUAUCAAUUCCAGCUCCAAAUAAUCAACCUAGAAACUGGACAGCAGGAAAUACAAUCUGGGCACCAUUGAGGUUGAUUACUUCAUGGGGGUGCUGGUGGAUUGGUCGUGAUGUUGAAACCUCAUAGUCUACAAAAGUUGUACAUUAUAUAUUGGUAAAGAAUAGGGUUCCCUGGUACUGGAGAUAGAUCAAAUAGGCUCAGCAAGCCUCUAGUCAUUUGAUGACAUUGAACUUGAGAAAUUCUGAAGAUGAAGUUUGAUGGCACUGGGAGGAGCAACUUUGUCUAAUGGUGGUCGAAGAUGGUUUUUUCAGAUAAGAGGGUGGCAAUUCUUUGUGUGUUUCUAUUUCAUGUUGGGAUUACAAUGAAUGUUGGUGUUGAAUGUUUGGCUCUGCUAAGAAUGCUGAGAAUUGGUAGGGAUGAAAGAGUGGAAAAAAGAUUUUGGCUUUGUAAGGCAUCUUAAAUAAUAUCGUGUAAGCAAUGAAGAGAAAGGAGUGCAGACUCAGAGAAUGAAUGCUGAGUCCUUGAGUCCAAGAAGUCUUGGUAGUUCGUAACCACUAAUAUGAGAUAAACUUUGCUAUAUUUAGAUGGAAGGGCAACCAGGUGGCAUAUGCUGUAGCAAACAUGGGGUUAUGUGCAAAUAACAGAUAGAUUUUCCCCUAUAAUGAGCACAUACUUAGAGAAUUUUGGGUUUUAAAGCCUUCCAUCAUCCUUUUGGAGAUUUAAAAGUAAUGAUGAGAGUUGUUUUCAUAAUACCCUCCUACAUCAAAAUAUCACCAUUUUGUUCAUGACUUCCCAUUGGUAUUGUCCUCAUGCUCAUGUUUGUAUAACUCCUUUGCCCUCAUUCUCUGUUUGGCAUUUACAGAGUUCAAAAUGUUACAUUGUGACAAGCUGUGUCUGAAUGGGCUCCUUUUCUUAUUUCGAGAGCUGAAAGUCUUCUUCUUUCUAGUAGGUCAGAUGAUGACAAGCAGUGGUUCUAUUCAUUGAUGCCUGGGCAGGCACAAUAAAAGCAGAAUCAUCCUGACCCGUAGCACAUAGAAACCUAUAUAAAAUAAUCAAUAAACCUGCUAAUGUUGUCUUGUGGUUGCUAUGGUUCUGCUUGGUUGAAUUUGCAGUCUGUUCAACUAUGACAUGGUCUGAUAGGGGGUGCCCUUCACCAAAAUUUUUAUAUCUUCAUUUGAUCUGCUUCCAUAUUUGGUUUUGGCUCUACUGGUGCCAUGGAGAAAGGAUUUGUGCUGUAUCAGAUCAGUGGCUAGUGUCAAUUCAGCUUAUUCCUCAGAGUCAAAACUAAUUUAAAAUUGUUUAUUUCUUCAUAAAAUAUCUGGCAGAAGGUAUGUGCCUGAGAGAUCCCUAUUACAAUUAAAAUUGUUUAUUUCUUCAUAAAAUAUCUGGCAGAAGGUAUGUGCCUGAGAGAUCCCUAUUACAAUUAAAAUUUAUGAAAAGACAACUUGUGAUCUGGUGCAACAUCAUGCCAGGAGAUCUGAUGUCAGCCAGUUGCUCCAAAAUGGAAGGGUUUCAUGGUUUGCAUAUCUGAUAUCAUUCACAUGAGAGUUCCAUCACUAUGCAAGGAGGCAGAAAUCUAGUGGGGAAGGCAAAUGCUCAUAUUUAGCUCAGGCAAUUUGACAAUUAUUCUUCUUUUCCAGGAAUUUCUUAAGAAAGCUGAAAUCUAAUCAAAGGGAGAUGUUCAGUUUGCUGGCUGUGUGUCUACUGGUGGCAUCUAUUGACAAAAUCAUCUGUAUCUGUCAAAUAAAAUAAUGUUGUAAGUUUCCAUUACUGCAUCUGGUACCAUGCAUGGUGUUUGAAAUCAACAUUGUCAUGUUCUCCACUGAUGUGAAAACUCCAAAUUUCACUUCUAGGGGGCAAGGUAGAGGAGGAGCAUUCCAAGGCUCUGGUGGUCGUGGACGGGGACGUGGACGUGGACGUGGACGAGGUCGUGGAAGGCAGAGUGGUGAAGAAAAAAGUGCUGAAAAAAGUGCUGAAGAUCUUGAU